rnacentral:rRNA from 1 species
CAAGUCGAGCGAACGGACGAGAAGCUUGCUUCUCUGAUGUUAGCGGCGGACGGGUGAGUAACACGUGGAUAACCUACCUAUAAGACUGGGAUAACUUCGGGAAACCGGAGCUAAUACCGGAUAAUAUUUUGAACCGCAUGAUUCAAAAGUGAAAGACGGUCUUGCUGUCACUUAUAGAUGGAUCCGCGCUGCAUUAGCUAGUUGGUAAGGUAACGGCUUACCAAGGCAACGAUGCAUAGCCGACCUGAGAGGGUGAUCGGCCACACUGGAACUGAGACACG